rnacentral:rRNA from 1 species
AUUGAACGCUGGCGGCGGGCCUAACACAUGCAAGUCGAACGGUAACAGGAAGCAGCUUGCUGCUUUGCUGACGAGUGGCGGACGGGUGAGUAAUGUCUGGGAAACUGCCUGAUGGAGGGGGAUAACUACUGGAAACGGUAGCUAAUACCGCAUAACGUCGCAAGACCAAAGAGGGGGACCUUCGGGCCUCUUGCCAUCGGAUGUGCCCAGAUGGGAUUAGCUAGUAGGUGGGGUAACGGCUCACCUAGGCGACGAUCCCUAGCUGGUCUGAGAGGAUGACCAGCCACACUGGAACUGAGACACGGUCCAGACUCCUACGGGAGGCAGCAGUGGGGAAUAUUGCACAAUGGGCGCAAGCCUGAUGCAGCCAUGCCGCGUGUAUGAAGAAGGCCUUCGGGUUGUAAAGUACUUUCAGCGGGGAGGAAGGGAGUAAAGUUAAUACCUUUGCUCAUUGACGUUACCCGCAGAAGAAGCACCGGCUAACUCCGUG